rnacentral:rRNA from 1 species
AUGAACGCUGGCGGCGUGCCUAAUACAUGCAAGUCGAGCGAACAGACGAGGAGCUUGCUCCUCUGACGUUAGCGGCGGACGGGUGAGUAACACGUGGAUAACCUACCUAUAAGACUGGGAUAACUUCGGGAAACCGGAGCUAAUACCGGAUAAUAUAUUGAACCGCAUGGUUCAAUAGUGAAAGACGGUUUUGCUGUCACUUAUAGAUGGAUCCGCGCCGCAUUAGCUAGUUGGUAAGGUAACGGCUUACCAAGGCAACGAUGUGUAGCCGACCUAAGAGGGUGAUCGGCCACACUGGAACUGAGACACGGUCCAGACUCCUACGGGAGGCAGCAGUAGGGAAUCUUCCGCAAUGGGCGAAAGCUUGACGGAGCAACGCCGCGUGAGUGAUGAAGGUCUUCGGAUCGUAAAACUCUGUUAUUAGGGAAGAACAAAUGUGUAAGUAACUAUGCACGUCUUGACGGUACCUAAUCAGAAAGCCACGGCUAACUACGUG